rnacentral:rRNA from 1 species
CAUAUACGGCUCAGUAACACGUGGCUAACCUGCCCUUGAGACGAGGAUAACCCUGGAAACCUGGGGAUAAUCCGCGAUAGAUGGAAACGCCUGGAAUGGUCUUCCGUCUAAAAGGUGUUAGGGUCAUGCUUCCUAGUACCGCUCAAGGAUGGGGCCGCGACUGAUCAGGUUGUUGGCGGGGAAAAGGCCCACCAAGCCUAUAACCAGUACGGGCCAUGAUAGUGGAAGCCCGGAGAUGGGCACUGAGAUAAGGGCCCAGGCCCUACGGGGCGCAGCAGGCGCGAAACCUUCGCAAUGCGCGAAAGCGUGACGAGGUUAGCCCGAGUGCCGUCCGCUGAGGAUGGCUUUUCUUUGGUUUAAGGAGCCAGGGGAAUAAGAGGAGGGUAAGUCUGGUGUCAGCCGCCGCGGUAAUACCAGCUUCUCGAGUGGUGGGGGCGAUUAUUGGGCCUAAAGCGUCCGUAGCCCGCUUUUUAAGUCCUUCGUUAAAUCCGGCGAUUUAAUCGUUGGUUCGCGGAGGAUACUGUAAAGCUAGGGGGCGGAAGAGACUGGCGGUAUUCUUAGGGUAGGGGUGAAAUCCUAUAAUCCUAGGAGGACCACCAGUGGCGAAGGCGGCCAGCUAGAACGCGCCCGACGGUGAGGGACGAAAGCUGGGGGAGCAAACCGGAUUAGAUACCCGGGUAGUCCCAGCUGUAAACGAUGCAGACUAGGUGUUGGAACGGCUACGCGCCGCUUCAGUGCCGCAGAGAAGUCAUUAAGUCUGCCGCCUGGGGAGUUAGUCCGCAGGGCUGAAC